rnacentral:rRNA from 1 species
UACGUAGGGAGCAAGCGUUGUCCGGAUUUAUUGGGCGUAAAGAGCGUGUAGGCGGCCAGACAGGUCCGUUGUGAAAACUAGAGGCUUAACCUCUAGACGUCGAUGGAAACCGUCUGGCUAGAGUCCGGAAGAGGAGAAUGGAAUUCCUGGUGUAGCGGUGAAAUGCGCAGAUAUCGGGAAGAACACCCGUGGCUAAGGCGGUUCUCUAGUACGGUACUGACGCUGAGACGCGAAAGCGUGGGGAGCGAACAGG